GAAAAGUCCUAUACACCAACCCAAUUUCAAUAAUGCAAAUAGUGCGAGACAACAAGCUCAACCCCAAAUUUAUAAUAUCAACAAAAAUGAUUUUCGGAGUAUUGUUCAGCAGUUGACUGGUUCGCCAUCUCAAGAACCUCAACCUAGACCUCCUCAUAAUCCACCAAAGCCUCCAAGUAUGAGAUUGCAAAGAAUUCGACCUCCCCCGUUGGCACCAAUUAAUCGCCCCCGAAUUCCCAUGCACCCUCCAGCACCAAUGCCAGUCCCA
rnacentral:misc_RNA from 1 species